UACGAAGGGGGCUAGCGUUGCUCGGAAUCACUGGGCGUAAAGCGCACGUAGGCGGAUUGCUAAGUCAGGGGUGAAAUCCUGGAGCUCAACUCCAGAACUGCCUUUGAUACUGGCAACCUUGAGUCCGGGAGAGGUGAGUAGAACUGCGAGUGUAGAGGUGAAAUUCGUAGAUAUUCGCAAGAACACCAGUGGCGAAGGCGGCUCACUGGCCCGGUACUGACGCUGGAGGUGCGAAAGCGUGGGGAGCAAACAGG
rnacentral:rRNA from 1 species